rnacentral:rRNA from 1 species
UACGAAGGGGGCGAGCGUUGUUCGGAAUUACUGGGCGUAAAGGGCGCGCAGGCGGCCCUUGAAGUCAGGCGUGAAAGCCCCGGGCUCAACCUGGGAGGUGCGCUUGAUACUCGAGGGCUUGAGUCCGGAAGAGGAGAAUGGAAUUCCCGGUGUAGCGGUGAAAUGCGCAGAUAUCGGGAAGAACACCCGUGGCGAAGGCGGUUCUCUGGGACGGUACUGACGCUGAGGUGCGAAAGCGUGGGGAGCAAACAGG